ensembl:lncRNA
ACCUCUGCUCCCCACGACAUCACCAACAUUUCUGCAGGACAGAACCCCCUGAUUUAAUCUACCAUAAUGCUCUCUGUUCUGUUGUCAUGGCAACAUGAAGUCAAAAAAUACAAAUACAAAAAUGCAAAAGAACAGGAGGACAACAAGACAGGCAGCUGGAAGAGCUUUUGAAGCAGAAAAACUUUUCUGGAUUUAUCUUAACUUAACUGGAAAUUUUGCAAAACAAGUCAAGCUGGAAACAAGGAGGCAGCUGGUUGGAUUAUAUCUGAGGACAGGACGCAUGAAGGAGAAGCAUGAGGAGAGAGAAAACAGCAGAGAGAUGGUGUGGAGCUAAUCGUGGAUCAAGUCGAAGAAGCAAGCACCAAAACUGUGAGUAGACAUCACACACCAAGAGCUAAAAUUACUGUGCUGAUUAAGGAAACAUUAAAUUUGGUUAGUUUGGGGUCUGGAGCUUCAGGUUUGGGGGUUCAGUUGGUCUCAAAAUUGAGGAAAGAAAAAAACAUGUUUCUUUCAAAAGGUUGUUGGAGGAUUCUUACUGUAAGAAAUGAAAAUUAAACCAUGUGUUAAAAAUGAUAAUAAAAAAUACAAAAAACCCAGAAAGUUUAAACGUCUGGGUGUGUAUCUGCUUGCUUUUUUUUUUUUUAAGUUGAAUUUGGUUUAAUAACAUUGGAAAAAGAAAACUGGAGGAUCAAGACAAUAAUGUGGCAAAAUUUACUGUUUCCUUAAUCACAACAAUAAUUUUGAUCUGAACUGAAAAUGUUGAAAUGGGUUAUUUUCUUUCUUCUCUACUGAUCACUGUGUUCAAUCUUCAGUUACUUGUCUCCAUUAAUGCUAAUGGUACUUUUAAAAAAUGCAGUAUACUUUUAAUUUUGUAGAAAAGGCUCUGCACCUGUGAAAAUAAAAAAUAGGUAUCCACAGCCCCGAGGUCACUGCAGAUCAAAGUAGCUAAGCCCUGGUUAAAUAUAAUUAUAUUACAGGAGGUGAUAAAUAUGGGAAUGAUUGAAAGAAACAAAGAUCUGGUUAAAGAUUUGGCUUUCUUAUUGAAAGAGAUGGAAACUAUUUCCUGUGUGACACUGAGAAAAAACUGAAAGCUUAAUAGAUCUGGAGAUCCAGCUGUUGUUAUAUAAAUGUGCAAAUGUAUUUUAAUGAACUUAGGAAGAAAAAAAGUGGGAUGUUUAAAAAAUAAAAUGGCAAAUUUAAUUUUGCAUUAGAUGACAAAAUUAUUUUGGUUUGUGCUGAUAUCUUUGGAAAAAGGUUUGGUCACUAAUAAGUUGAGAUUUAACAGGACAAACUGAGGGUAGGUAAUAUAAUGUACACAGUAGCUCUAAUGGCUUUAAAUGGGCAUCUGUACACCUGUAGAUAUUUUAUCAAACAUCAAUCAUAAUUUGUGAUCAAUGUGAGUUUUAAACAUUGAAAUUUCUUUAUAUUUCUGACUAAUUUACAAAAUAUUAAAAAGAAUUUGAGUUUUUUUUUUUUAAAAAAACAAGACAUUUCUAAUUGACUUCAAACUUUUGAGCUGUAGUGUAGAUUGCAGUGAUAGUGUAUAGUUAUCUAUUAUAGAAGAUGAUAUAGAAGUAUGAGGACAGGGAGACACUGUUAAAACGUUAUGAGCUGUCUUGCUGCAGAGAAAGUGGAGUGUGUCAUCCUUGAAAUGCUCCCUAGAUAGGCAGCUGGCAGGAUUGAAUGAUGCUCUGCCUCUGUGGUCAAGUACAGACAUAGGCCUUAAGCAACCAUGAGCCACUGAUGAGCGUGACAGAUUAGGAAGCAGGCAUAAAGUUAGACACCUGUGAGCCACUAAUAGGAGAAAAUGAGCACGCAAUAAAGUGGACUUGUUAGGCAGAUUUUGCCAUCAGAGUUAAAACACUUCAACUCAAUUUUUGAUGAUAGACACAACUAAAAAACUCCUGAUCAGAUACAGACACAUGUACACAAUACACACUACUGCUCAAAAGUUUGUGGUCAGAUUGAAACAUUCUUGUUUCAUUUAUGAAUUUACAUUUGCUUUAACGUAAUAUUACAUGAAGUUUAUCAGUAAUGUUUUCACAGAUGUGUUUUUAAUGAAUCAUUUAUGGUAAAUCAGUCAUGAUGUGUUAGGAAAUGUCUACACAGUUAUACAUGGGCCCAUUUUUACUAUCAAUCACUCCUGUAUGGACAGAUCACAUGGUUAUAAACCAGAUGCAAAUUUGAUUUAAUGUGAAUAUAAAGCAAAAAUGGGAUGAUACAUCACAAACCUCACAGAUUUACUGUUGUUAAUCUGUACAAUGAUGCUGGUUUGUGCUGAUGUCUUUGGAAAAAGUUGUCUUGACUGAAACGCUGGGAUUUAAAGAGACAUCUGGUAACAAAAUGUGCCACUGAAACACAACAGGUAUUAUUGCUGAAAAUGGUCCUCUGUAGAUGUCAUGGUCCCUGAGCCCUGUUUUCUUUGCCUGCUUUUCUCUCUCUCUCCUCUGUCCGUGUGCUUGUCUGUUUCAGGGGAUGCCCCUCCUCCUUCCUGUCGUUCAGUCACUUGUCAACAACCAGCUGAUUGCUCCCCUGCUCCUCAUGAAGUCUUCAUGCUGGCUUCUCAACAACCACAUCAUUGCAUCACCAAGACCUUUCAGCUUUUUCGGAUCCCUGCAAUCUUCUGUGACAGUGUCUGAGUGUGCCUUCAGACAGCCUGCAGUACCUCUGCCCGUCUCCUGGAGCCCACAGUGUUUAUCCUGUAUUCAUAACUAUCUGC